rnacentral:rRNA from 1 species
GCAUAGUCGUAAACAAUGAUAACAACACACUCAUUAUCCGCCUGGGGACUACGAGCACUAGCUUAAAACCCAAAGGACUUGGCGGUGCUUUAGACCCACCUAGAGGAGCCUGUUCUAGAACUGAUAACCCCCGUUAAACCUCACCCUAUCUUGUUGUAUCCGCCUAUAUACCGCCGUCGUCAGCUUACCUUAUGAAAGAAUAAAAGUGAGCAAAGUUGGUUCAACCUAAAACGUCAGGUCGAGGUGUAGUGUAUGGUAGGGGAAGAAAUGGGCUACAUUCAUCCAUCGAUGAACAUACGAAUGAUUAAUUGAAAAAUAAACCUGAAGGAGGAUUUAGCAGUAAGAAGAAAAUAGAGUGUUCUUCUGAAAUUGGCCCUGAAGCGCG